CUUCUCUCAGCUGCUGGUUUUGGUUUCCUGCUUUUUAAGCUUCUCAGGAGCUGCUGGCAGAAAUAAUUUCCUAUUCCACUGUGACUGUGAUCCUGUAUGACUCUUCUGCUUAAGGGUUCUGAAAUUGCCAGGAGAACAACAUUGACCUGCC
rnacentral:lncRNA from 12 species